rnacentral:lncRNA from 1 species
AGCCAAAAUUAAAUAUUCUUUUGGAUAUAAAUUUCAACAGUGAGAUAGCUGCCUAGUGGAAAUGAAUAAUAUCCCAGCCACUAGUGUACAGGGUGUUUUGUGGCACAGGAUUAUGUAAUAUGGAACUGCUCAAGCAAAUAACUAGUCAUCACAACAGCAGUUCUUUGUAAUAACUGAAAAAGAAUAUUGUUUCUCGGAGAAGGAUGUCAAAAGAUCGGCCCAGCUCAGGGAGCAGUUUGCCCUACUAGCUCCUCGGACAGCUGUAAAGAAGAGUCUCUGGCUCUUUAGAAUACUGAUCCCAUUGAAGAUACCACGCUGCAUGUGUCCUUAGUAGUCAUGUCUCCUUAGGCUCCUCUUGAUCUUCCUCAGAAGAAUAGGCUUGUUGUUUUACAGUGUUAGUGAUCCAUUCCCUUUGACGAUCCCUAGGUGGAGAUGGGGCAUGAGGAUCCUCCAGGGGAAAAGCUCACUACCACUGGGCAACAACCCUAGGUCAGGAGGUUCUGUCAAGAUACUUUCCUGGUCCCAGAUAGGAAGAUAAAGUCUCAAAAACAACCACCACACGUCAAGCUCUUCAUUGUUCCUAUCUGCCAAAUCAUUAUACUUCCUACAAGCAGUGCAGAGAGCUGAGUCUUCAGCAGGUCCAAGAAAUUUGAACACACUGAAGGAAGUCAGCCUUCCCACCUGAAGAUCAACAUGCCUGGCACUCUAGCACUUGAGGAUAGCUGAAUGAAUGUGUAUUUCUUUGUCUCUUUCUUUCUUGUCUUUGCUCUUUGUUCUCUAUCUAAAGUGUGUCUUACCCAUUUCCAUGUUUCUCUUGCUAAUUUCUUUCGUGUGUGCCUUUGCCUCAUUUUCUCUUUUUGUUCACAAGAGUGGUCUGUGUCUUGUCUUAGACAUAUCUCUCAUUUUUCAUUUUGUUGCUAUUUCUCUUUGCUCUCCUAGAUGUGGCUCUUCUUUCACGCUUUAUUUCAUGUCUCCUUUUUGGGUCACAUGCUGUGUGCUUUUUGUCCUUUUCUUGUUCUGUCUACCUCUCCUUUCUCUGCCUACCUCUCUUUUCUCUUUGUGAACUGUGAUUAUUUGUUACCCCUUCCCCUUCUCGUUCGUUUUAAAUUUCACCUUUUUUCUGAGUCUGGCCUCCUUUCUGCUGUUUCUACUUUUUAUCUCACAUUUCUCAUUUCUGCAUUUCCUUUCUGCCUCUCUUGGGCUAUUCUCUCUCUCCUCCCCUGCGUGCCUCAGCAUCUCUUGCUGUUUGUGAUUUUCUAUUUCAGUAUUAAUCUCUGUUGGCUUGUAUUUGUUCUCUGCUUCUUCCCUUUCUACUCACCUUUGAGUAUUUCAGCCUCUUCAUGAAUCUAUCUCCCUCUCUUUGAUUUCAUGUAAUCUCUCCUUAAAUAUUUCUUUGCAUAUGUGGGCAAGUGUACGUGUGUGUGUGUCAUGUGUGGCAGAGGGGCUUCCUAACCCCUGCCUGAUAGGUGCAGAACGUCGGCUAUCAGAGCAAGCAUUGUGGAGCGGUUCCUUAUGCCAGGCUGCCAUGUGAGAUGAUCCAAGACCAAAACAAGGCCCUAGACUGCAGUAAAACCCAGAACUCAAGUAGGGCAGAAGGUGGAAGGCUCAUAUGGAUAGAAGGCCCAAAGUAUAAGACAGAUGGUUUGAGACUUGAGACCCGAGGACUAAGAUGGAAAGCCCAUGUUCCAAGAUAGAUAGAAGCCUCAGGCCUGAAACCAACAAAAGCCUCAAGAGCCAAGAAAACAGAGGGUGGCCUGAAUUGGACCGAAGGCCUGAGUUGGAUGGAAGUCUCAAGGCUUGAGUUAGAAGUCUUAAGACCUGGGACAGGACACAUGGAAGGCCUAAGAACUGAGACUUGUGACACAAGGCCAACGACCUAAGAUUAGCCCAGGGUUGUAGCUGGAAGACCUACAACCCAAGGAUGGAAGGCCCCUGUCACAAAGCCUACCUAGAUGGAUAGAGGACCCAAGCGAAAAAGGUAUCUCAAGACUAACGGCCGGAAUCUGGAGGCCCAUGACCCAGAACCCAGGAAGGAUAGAAGCUUGAAGACCUGGGGAAAUCCCAAGAUGAGAACCCUAAACCCUACCUCUUUUCUAUUGUUUACACUUCUUACUCUUAGAUAUUUCCAGUUCUCCUGUUUAUCUUUAAGCCUGAUUCUUUUGAGAUGUACUUUUUGAUGUUGCCGGUUACCUUUAGAUUGACAGUAUUAUGCCUGGGCCAGUCUUGAGCCAGCUUUAAAUCACAGCUUUUACCUAUUUGUUAGGCUAUAGUGUUUUGUAAACUUCUGUUUCUAUUCACAUCUUCUCCACUUGAGAGAGACACCAAAAUCCAGUCAGUAUCUAAUCUGGCUUUUGUUAACUUCCCUCAGGAGCAGACAUUCAUAUAGGUGAUACUGUAUUUCAGUCCUUUCUUUUGACCCCAGAAGCCCUAGACUGAGAAGAUAAAAUGGUCAGGUUGUUGGGGAAAAAAAAGUGCCAGGCUCUCUAGAGAAAAAUGUGAAGAGAUGCUCCAGGCCAAUGAGAAGAAUUAGACAAGAAAUACACAGAUGUGCCAGACUUCUGAGAAGCACCUGCCAGCAACAGCUUCCUUCUUUGAGCUUAGUCCAUCCCUCAUGAAAAAUGACUGACCACUGCUGGGCAGCAGGAGGGAUGAUGACCAACUAAUUCCCAAACCCCAGUCUCAUUGGUACCAGCCUUGGGGAACCACCUACACUUGAGCCACAAUUGGUUUUGAAGUGCAUUUACAAGGUUUGUCUAUUUUCAGUUCUUUACUUUUUACAUGCUGACACAUACAUACACUGCCUAAAUAGAUCUCUUUCAGAAACAAUCCUCAGAUAACGCAUAGCAAAAUGGAGAUGGAGACAUGAUUUCUCAUGCAACAGCUUCUCUAAUUAUACCUUAGAAAUGUUCUCCUUUUUAUCAUCAAAUCUGCUCAAGAAGGGCUUUUUAUAGUAGAAUAAUAUCAGUGGAUGAAAACAGC